UUUCUUUUGGAUAUAAUACGUAUAGUCUUAUUUCUCCUCAACAAAAGCUAAUAAAGGCAAAUUGAGUUUAUCUCUUGCCAGUUCUUUGAGAUGCAACAUAUUGAUGCUCUUAGGUCUCGCGGAUAUAUACACAAGGCUGGUCAGCAGGUACCAUCCCGAGAGAUUAUUUUCUUUGAUAGAAGUUUUUCCUAUAAAAGAGGUUAUGUAAUCACACUUAUUGCAGGUGCCACAUGCAAUGAAUAUAAUUGUUAGAUAGUAUAUUUGGCAGUGCUGUCUAAAACUAUGACUUAGAUCCCAUCAGGAGUAACGCGGAAGGAUCUAAAUACUGAGAGGUUGAGGUACAGGCUUACCAAUGACAGCUCCACUGUUCUGUUGUCAGAUGAGUUGAACUCUAUACUAAGAGAUUUAUUAUCGACCUUGUCACUAGAACACAAUGCUCUUAUUAUAGAAACAAUGCAUGAGCCUAGUUAGUACAGAACUUGUCUUUUGAGGAAAAUGUAAUGUCCUCAUAUGACAAUGUAACAAGUGUAAGAAUAAAACAUUCAUUUGCAUAUAUUCUACGGGCUAAUUAGAUACUCCUUUAGAUA